rnacentral:rRNA from 1 species
UACGUAGGGUGCGAGCGUUAAUCGGAAUUACUGGGCGUAAAGCGUGCGCAGGCGGUUCGUUGUGUCGGCGGUGAAAGCCCCGGGCUCAGCCUGGGAAUGGCCGUUGAAACUGGCGAACUGGAGUGUGGCAGAGGGGGGUGGAAUUCCGCGUGUAGCAGUGAAAUGCGUAGAGAUGCGGAGGAACACCGAUGGCGAAGGCA